AUACGGGGGGGGCAAGCGUUGUUCGGAAUUACCGGGCGUAAAGGGCGCGCAGGCGGUCCGGCAAGUCCUACGUGAAAUCCCACAGCUCAACUGUGGAACUGCGUGGGAAACUGCCAGGCUUGAGUCCGGGAGAGGAGAGUGGAAUUCCCAGUGUAGCGGUGAAAUGCGUAGAUAUUGGGAGGAACACCGGUGGCGAAGGCGGCUCUCUGGACCGGUACUGACGCUGAGGCGCGAAAGCUAGGGGAGCAAACGGGAUUAGAAACCCCGGUAGUCC
rnacentral:rRNA from 1 species